rnacentral:sRNA from 1 species
UCAUUUGACGGCAGAAGUAGAGAACCGACUCGAGUUUUGGACAGCCCAUGGAGACGGAGACAAGCCCCUGUUCCGUCAAUGCCACAUUUGGUUCCAUGACAAAAGGCUCGGACGGAAACACUCUCAGCUCGCGUAGGUCCUUGCAGGUU